rnacentral:lncRNA from 1 species
AGCUGCACAGGGGAGUUGGCAAGGGGGCACAAGGAAGCAAUGCCCCGUUGCUGUCCGUAGGGUGAACGCAAGGUGACUCGUGGCGGCCGCAAUUUCUACGCUGCGCUUUUCAUCUCUGAAGCCAUGCGCAGCAGCGUGCAGUCGUCAUGUUCAGAAAAGCAGUGCAAAGGUACCCGAAUAAGCUGUACAACAUUGCUGCAAGGUGCCUUGGUAAACCAGUACCCAGCCCUGAGGAACAGAUUGGACUCUGGCUAUAUGCAAAAGGCGUGAGCGCCAUCAUGGUUCUACCAUUUCUUGUCAAUGAGCGAGGGGACGACAUGUUCACAAAAAUG